AUUGAACGCUGGCGGCAUGCCUUACACAUGCAAGUCGAACGGCAGCACGGGUGCUUGCACCUGGUGGCGAGUGGCGAACGGGUGAGUAAUACAUCGGAACGUACCUUAUCGUGGGGGAUAACGCAGCGAAAGCUGUGCUAAUACCGCAUACGCCCUGAGGGGGAAAGCGGGGGAUCGUAAGACCUCGCGCGAUUAGAGCGGCCGAUGCCUGAUUAGCUUGUUGGUGGGGUAAAAGCCCACCAAGGCGACGAUCAGUAGCUGGUCUGAGAGGACGAUCAACCACACUGGGACUGAGACACGGCCCAGACUCCUACGGGAGGCAGCAGUGGGGAAUUUUGGACAAUGGGGGCCACCCUGAUCCAGCAAUGCCGCGUGAGUGAAGAAGGCCUUCGGGUUGUAAAGCUCUUUUGUCAGGGAAGAAACACCGGCUCUAACACAGUCUGGGAAUGACGGUACCUGAAGAAUAAGCACCGGCUAACUACGUGCCAGCCGCCGCCGUAA
rnacentral:rRNA from 1 species